rnacentral:rRNA from 1 species
CAGUAGCCGCGGUAAUACGGAGGGGGCUAGCGUUGUUCGGAAUUACUGGGCGUAAAGCGCACGUAGGCGGCUUGGUAAGUUAGAGGUGAAAGCCCGGAGCUCAACUCCGGAAUUGCCUUUAAGACUGCCGAGCUAGUAGGUGAGAGAGGUAAGUGGAAUUCCGAGUGUAGAGGUGAAAUUCGUAGAUAUUCGGAAGAACACCAGUGGCGAAGGCGGCUUACUGGCUCAUUCUAGACGCUGAGGUGUGAAAGCGUGGGGAGCAAACAGGAUUAGAUACCCGCGUAGUCCCUGUCUCUUAUAC